rnacentral:tRNA from 1 species
GCGAGCGUAGCUCAGUUGGUAGAGCGAUUCCUUGCCAAGGAAUAGGUCGCGGGUUCGAGUCCCGUCGCUCGCU